rnacentral:antisense_RNA from 1 species
CUUGAGCGAUCCCAGCCACAACGGCCGUUCCGACGACCGCCCUUGACCAUAGGUGGCGAGCAGCGCCUCCGCCUC